GCAGAGCUCAGGGCGCGCCCACCAUGGCCUGCACCCAUCUCCUGCUGCCCCUCCUCACUCUCUGCACAGCUCGUGCGGUCACCUCUCAGCUGACUCAGCCGCCUGCGGUGUCCGUGUCCUUGGGACAGACGGCCAGCAUCACCUGCCAGGGAGAUGAUUUUGAUUCCAUUGGUGCUAACUGGUACCAGCAGAAGCCGGGCCAGGCCCCUGUGAUGGUCAUUUAUGGGAAUAGAGAGCGGGCCUCAGGGAUCCCUGACCGGUUCUCUGGCUCCAACUCGGGGGACACAGCCACCCUGACCAUCAGCGGGGCCCAGGCCGAGGACGAGGCCGACUAUUACUGUCAGUCAGCUGAUAUCAGUGGUGGUGCUCACAGUGACACAGACAGACGGGGAAGUGAGACACAAACCCUCCCGUCCUGCUCACACUCUCCUCCAGCCCCGGGAGGACUGUGGACUCAGCAGCGACAGGCCUGGCCCGGAUCCCCCGGAGCUGAGCCCUCCAGGCGGCCCCUCCUUCCGGCCCUCCAGGCAGGCUCUGCACAGGGGGGUCAGGAAUGGAUUUAG